rnacentral:lncRNA from 1 species
UUACACUUUCAAAGGGAUUGGCACAACAGUAUCAUCAUUGCAUGCUAAUAAAUGUAAUCUAAGUUGAUGAGGCAGCUUUGGAAGAUGGAUUGAAAGGAACCUGCUCAGCGCAUGUAAGGUAUUCAUGGGGUCCAGCCUGUUCUCUACCAACUCCAAGAAGAUCAAGAUAGUACAUGUAAUGGGAAACGAUAUUGUUCAUGGAGUCCACAUCACCUUGACCACAAACACCAUCCCCAUAUAGAAUGUUCAUUGUAGUGCCAAAACCAGGAACGCGAUUCUCCAUAGUGUCAUUCUUGGUAGGCUUCCAG